CGCAAUCUCUUCGUCAUCGGAGCGGAUCCAAAACAGUGGGAAGUAGUGCCGCGUUCAAAACAACUGGGAACUCGGAAAAAAAUACGAUGUUAAAUCAUGACGUCAUUGAUCUUCAGGUCGGAAAGUCGGAGUUGUAUAGGCCCGAGUUCCAUAGUUGGAAUUUGGUUUGAUGACCGUUCAAAUCGUUUUUUUCCAGUCGAGCUCGUUUUUUUCAGAGUUCCCAGUUGUUUGAAACUCACUGAAAUCGGAAGUCGAAGAUUUCCGAGUUCCGAGCUCCCAAUUCUUUUGAACGCGGCAUAGGCUAUUGUUUAUUAUCACCUUCCGGAUUCUUAGAAACUUCCCCUGUUACAGACCCGCCACCGACUUAUCUGUUCAAUGGAGGAACCAUUAUUUUUUGCUUGCGGGGAUUUGGUCGACUGGUCUGUCCAAACUGCUUGGGAACAGAAUGACGCCGAGGUGGACAGUGCGUUUGGAGACUGGAGUUCUGCCUGUAAUGGCAACAAGUCGGAUGCAGUUGAAAGAUCUUCAUCUCUGUCUUCACCCAUGAACAUGGACAUCUCUAAACUCUCAACAAAGUGACUGUGGCAGCUUGUGGAGCCAUCUGGUGGCUGAGCCCAGCAGGCUGAGGCUGUCAGAGCCAAAGCCCAGCUUACACUGCCACAGCCACAGCAGAAUGGUUUCUGCCCUCAGAAUCACACCUUCAAAUUGCAUCUCUGACCAGUGUGAGUCAGACUUUUUGGAAGAUCAUGAAGGAACUACAGAGACCUCUUGCCCCCCUGCUGCUGCUGCUCUCAUCAAAACCAAGCUGCUGGCCCCCUCCUCCUGCCAUGGUGACACCCCAGCUUUCCUCUACCAAAUCUCCCAGCAGUGGCUGACUCAAUGCAGCAUCCAGCUGCAGCCUCAGCACCACAAGAAGUCUCCUGCACUGAACUAUGGAGAAGGAUAAGAUGAAGAUGCUGCUUAGCAUAGCCCUACUGUACUGUUGUAGAUGGGUGAAACGGGUUGGGUUGUUACCCGGGUGAGAACAAAGUAUACACUUUUCGCAACAUUUUAUUUAUACAGAUUGUAAAGAAAAUACAUUCUAUGAUAUUGUGUAUUUAGUUUGCAGGCAUGUUCCUGGUUUUAUAUAUAAUAUUUUGAUACGGAGUGUAGUUACAGUGAUACUAUAAAAUGUUCUAUACAUUUAUUGAGUUAUUUAUUCAGUGUAACACCUGUUUUAUACCACUAUUGUCAAGAGCAGAGGGAACAAUGCAAUUCUUUGGAAGACUUUGGAAGUCACAGUCACAGCACUCCACUAGAGGGCAUACUGGCUUCCUCAUAAGUCCCAAACCCCAUUUUGCAAACAUACAGUGCAUUCAGAAAGUAUUCAGACCCCUUGCCUUUUCCACAUCUUGUUACGUUACAGCCUUAUUCUAGAAUUGAUUACAAUUUUUUUUUCUCAUCAAUCUACACACACUACCCCAUAAUGACAAAGCAAAAACAGGUUUUUAGAAUUGUUGCCAAAGGUAUUAAAAACAGAAAUACCUUAUUUACAUAAGUAUUCAAAUCAAAAAAUCUAAUCAAAGUUAAUUUGUCACAUGCGCCGAAUACAACAUGUGUAGACCUUCAGACCAUGCACCUCAAAACAAGCUUUGUCCAUAUAUUUUGUUUUGUAGAAUACCCAUCUCUAAGUCUCACUGUAGAAACCUGGCUUGCAAUCUAGGGCAGUGCAUGGUCCAAAAAAAAGUAAUUGGGUGUGGCUUCCCACUGUGGAUACAUUUUUAUGGAAAUUUGGAUUGCUUGUGCUUUAACUAUUUAUGGCAUUAUUGAUUAUUGGUGUCCUCCACUUCUUAAUAUUUCCAUAGUUUGGUCCUCUGUUUUUCUUUACCUGCCUUAAUACUCAAAACCAUAGACAUGUUUCAUGUCAUUGGCCAUUUUGUAAGUAAGACUGCAGGGUAUCAUUGUGCUAAUCAGCACAAACCAGUAUAACAGAGAGGUUAUUACAUGUGUACAACUGCAUCUCAGACAGUUCUCUUCCAUUUCAACCACCAGGAUUUGCUUUUCCAGACAGAGAAAACAAGGGGUUAGUGGAGGUGCACACUCCUCCCACAUGUCACUUGUUUGGCUGGCGGGUUGAGUCUAUGAAUAGAAUUGAAAUACAGAGAGAAAAACCAUCACCUUUUUCCAAGUAGGCCCCUCCUACAUGACAAGUGAUGUAGCCCUGCACUUCCCUCCCCCUCUCUCUCUCUACUAUCUCCUCUCAGCUAGUGCACUAGCGGGAUGUCAGAGUGAAUUUAGAUUACAUCUCGUUGCAGUGCAGUGGCGGAAAAAAGGCAAAGGGACAUGGAGGAAGGAAGGAUGAUCCUGGGUUGUAUUGUGCCUUAUAUGUCACUCGCACACACAGAGGAAGGCAUGGGUGCAUUGGACCAUCUUUGUUUUGGGUGGGCUGGUCAAAAUAAAUUAAUAAUACAAAUAAUUGACUUUUUUAAGGGAGAUGGCCCUUGGGCCUGUUAAGAUUAUGAUUUUUGUGCAAUUUCUCUAUUGUCAUAUUAAUAUAUUUGAGCAUUUGCCUGAUCAGUGGACAACGGCCAGUCCCCCCUACCAAGAUAGGCCUGCCCGGUUUUCUGUUUGGCUGAGGUGGUGCAAAAUUCACGUUCAAUGUCAAACGCACAUCAGCAAAGAGACCUGCUCUGACUCUCUUGUCAUCAGUCAGCCCAGAUCAUGGCUUGUAAAAAACAGAAAGGUAGUGCUAAAAAAAGUUAAGAGACCAAAAAAAGGCUUGAGACCACAGCUGCUUAAUGUAUGAAAUAAAUCAACUAAUUUUCUAAAAGUUCUGGUUCGGCUGGUCCAAGUGUUGUGACAGAUGCUGCUACAGAAGACAGUGCAGUCGAGGUAUGGAGAAAGCCUAGCUACUGUGUUACUCUUUCUCAGUUUUCAUCCAAAUGCCCACAGAUUUUAAUGCGAAUAUUCAAAAAUCAGCAUAAAAACUCCAAGGGGUUUCCAUCAAAUUGACUUGUUGCGGAUAAAAGGCUGCGCAUGAUGAUGUAGUGCACAUAAUAAUACAUUUUCCAUUGCAUUUUUAACUUUACUGAUGAUUUUCUCACAAAAAAACAUGAGUUAUAUAGCGAGUGUGCCCACUGGUAUUGGCACGUGCUCUCUAGCCAACAGCUCUCAGACACUGUGCGAGUAGGCCAAUAGCCUAUGGAUGAGAUUAUUAUGGACAAGAUUAUUUCUAUUUGUCAAAUGGCAGCCAAGCAUCGAUGAUCAUGUCAUAAGACCCUUUAUGUUUAUUGGAAAGGAGCACAUCACCUUGCACUUUUCACCACCCUGUGAAGUUCAUAAUUUAUACUGAACAAAAAUAUAAACGCAACAUGUAAAGUGUUGGUCCCAUGUUUCAUGAGCUGAAAUAAAAGAUACCCGAAAUGUUCCAUUCACACAAAGUUUAUUUCUCUUAUCUUUUGUGCACAAAUGUGUUUACAUCCGUUAGUGAGCAUUUCUCCUUUGCCAAGAUAAUCCAUCCACCUGACAGGUGUGGCAUAUCAAGAAGCUGAUUAAACAGCAUGAUCAUUACACAGGUGCACCUUCUGCUGGGGACAAUAAAAGGCCACUAUUAUGUGCAGUUUUGUCACAACACAAUGCCAC
rnacentral:lncRNA from 1 species